rnacentral:rRNA from 1 species
AUUGAACGCUGGCGGCAGGCUUAACACAUGCAAGUCGAGCGAGCGGCGGACGGGUGAGUAAUGUCUGGGAAACUGCCUGAUGGAGGGGGAUAACUACUGGAAACGGUAGCUAAUACCGCAUACCAUCAGAUGUUCCCAGAUGGGUUUAGCUAGUAGGUGGGGUAAUGGCUAACCUAGGCGACGAUCCCUAGCUGGUCUGAGAGGACGACAGGCCACAAGGGAACUGAGAAACGGGCAAGACUCCUACGGGAGGCAGAAGUGGGGAAGAUUGCACAAUGGGCGAAAGCCUGACGAAGCCAUGCCGCGUGUGUGAAGAAGGCCUUCGGGUUGUAAAGCACUUUCAGCGAGGAGGCGGUACUCGCAGAAGAAGCACCGGCUAACUCCGUGCCAGCAGCCGCGGUAAUUC